GGUGGCUUAGUGAUAGAGCUCUUGCCUUGCAUGCAUGAGGCUCUGGGUUCAAUUCCUCAGCACCA
rnacentral:tRNA from 1 species